CGACUCCCUCCCGGUAGAGGCGCAGCCCGCCAGCCGGAAGCGAGCCUUGCAUGGGCGGCGGCGACGCCGGUCGUGAAGCGUAGGCAGCAGGCAUCGAAGCCGUGGGUCAGCCCCGAAAUCAUGAUGACGUCGAAGCCUUCGGAGUGUUGGGACCGGGGGCAGCAUCGGCAAGGCCGAUAGUGGCGAGGCCGUGUCGGUUCGACCGGGGUCUCGGAACA
rfam:Rhodovulum sp. PH10 contig109, whole genome shotgun sequence.